UACAGAGGGUGCAAGCGUUGUUCGGAAUCAUUGGGCGUAAAGCGCGCGUGAGGCGGCCCUGUAAGUCCGUUGUGAAAGUCAAAGGGCUCAACCUUUGAAAGCCGAUGGAUACUGCAGGGCUAGAGUCCGGAAGAGGCGAGUGGAAUUCCUGGUGUAGCGGUGGAAUGCGCAGAUAUCAGGAGGAACACCAAUAGCGAAGGCAGCUCGCUGGGACGGUACUGACGCUGAGGCGCGAAAGCGUGGGGAGCAAACAGG
rnacentral:rRNA from 1 species